ensembl:lncRNA LINC02018 long intergenic non-protein coding RNA 2018
AGGAGGGCGAGGCCUGGGGUAGGGCCAGGAUAAGCGUCGUUGGGGCAGGUCCUGGGUAGAGUCCAGGUUGGCGGGUCCUGGGGCGGAGUCAGGAUAGGGCGAUCCUGGAAGCUGGGCUUCAGAAGCGUCCAGCGCCACCCGUCUGGGGCCCGAAAGGAGGGAGCUUUCCCUCUGUCCUCCAGCCUUUGGACUGUCUCCAAACAAGCCAUUCGUUCACCAAAUACUUAUUAAGCACCUACCAUGUGCCUGACAAGGGAGAUGUAACGCUGGGGAAACUGAGUUACAGAGCUUUUCUGCACUGAGUCAUCAGGAGCAAAUGCUAGAUCAGAUAGGGUCUCUCUCUCUGCCACCCAGGCCAGAGUGCAGUUGACGCAGGGCAGGGGAGCCCCGAAGUGGAGCAUAGUGUGUCCGGAACUGGUGGGUUCUUGGUCUCACUGACUUCAAGAAUGAAGCCGUGGACCCUCACGUGUCUCACUCUGUUGCCCAGACUGGAGUGCAGUAGCACGAUCUUAGCUCACUGCAACCUCUGCCUCCCAGGUUCAAGCGAUUCUCCUGCCUCAGCCUCCAGAGUAGCUGGAACUACAGAUGCGCACCACCACGCCCAGGCUGUGCUUCUCAGUGGCUCCCACCAGAUACCUGAUGGUCCUGUCGAUUUGCUGAAUCAUCAACUUCCUAUUCUCUGCCUCUGGCCUGAAUCGAUGUCCCACGUUAUCUGGCUCUCUGUAACACAGAGUCACAAAGUCAAAGUCUUCCUUGGUGAACCAGUUCAUGACAGUAUCGAUGUUCGCACUCCGCUCUGUCUCGUUGCUGUUUGGGCUGGAGUGCAAUGGUGUGAUCUCAUCUCGCUGCAACCUCUGCCUUCUGGAUUAAAGCAAUUCUCCUGCCUCAGCCUCCCGGGUAUCUGGGAUUACAGUUGCACGCCACCACACCUGGCUAAUUUUUUGUAUUUUUAAUAGAGACAGGGUUUCACCAUGUUGGCCAGGCUUGUCUUGAACUCCUGACGUCGUGAUCUGCCUGCUUUGGCCUCCCAAAGUCCUGGGAUUACAGGCAUGAGCCACCGUACCCAGCCACUCUUGAUUAACUUAAUGGAAAUAUUUACAGAGAUUCUUUCUCUUCUGGGUUCUAGCGUCUUAUCUGUAACCUCUGCAGGUGCAGGAAUGAGAGGCAGCAGCCGGGGAAGCCAGGGUCUCCGGAAGUCCUUGUCUCUGGGCGGUGAUCCAGAGAGAGAGAGAGAACACGAUUGUCUCAGCAAUGGGUCUUCUUCUGAGUCUUGAAGGAGCACUUCCAGAGCCUCUCAGUGUUAAACAUCGUGUUGUGAAUGACUCCGUGAGCUCUGACCCAGUGACCUUGGGGAUAAAGGAGGGGAGGUACGGAUAAGCUCUUCGAAUGGAUGUUGCCGGGGUGUCAGUGUUCUUUGAGGGCACAGACUAUGUGUCACUAAAGAAAGAGCCCAGUGCCUUUUCUCAUUGCUCAAGAGAUUGAAGGGGUAGUAAGAAAAGAUGUUAAGUUAUAAACACGUUUCAGUUUUGGUACCAGUUGAACCAAUUUACGUUUUGAAGAGGAAAGAGUCUUGCCUACAA